AGAGUUUGAUCCUGGCUCAGGACGAACGCUGGCGGCGUGCCUAACACAUGCAAGUCGAGCGAUGAAGUUUCCUUCGGGAAAUGGAUUAGCGGCGGACGGGUGAGUAACACGUGGGUAACUUGCCUUAUAGUGGGGGAUAGCCUUUCGAAAGGAAGAUUAAUACCGCAUAAGAUUGUAGUAUCGCAUGAUAUAGCAAUUAAAGGAGCAAUUCGCUAUAAGAUGGACCCGCGUCGCAUUAGCUAGUUGGUGAGGUAAUGGCUCACCAAGGCGACGAUGCGUAGCCGACCUGAGAGGGUGAUCGGCCACAUUGGGACUGAGACACGGCCCAGACUCCUACGGGAGGCAGCAGUGGGGAAUAUUGCACAACGGGCGAAAGCCUGAUGCAGCAACGCCGCGUGAGUGAUGACGGCCUUCGGGUUGUAAAACUCUGUCUUCAGGGACGAUAAUGACGGUACCUGAGG
rnacentral:rRNA from 1 species